rnacentral:rRNA from 1 species
UACGAAGGGGGCUAGCGUUGUUCGGAUUUACUGGGCGUAAAGCGCACGUAGGCGGAUUGUUAAGUCGGGGGUGAAAUCCUGGAGCUCAACUCCAGAAUUGCCUUCGAUACUGGCUUUCUAGAGGCUGGAAGAGGUUAGUGGAAUUCCCAGUGUAGAGGUGAAAUUCGUAGAUAUUGGGAAGAACACCAGUGGCGAAGGCGGCUAACUGGUCCAGAUCUGACGCUGAGGUGCGAAAGCGUGGGGAGCGAACAGG